GCGGAUGACGGAGGCUACCAUGCAGUCGAGCGGUAGCACAGAGAGCUUGCUCUCGGGUGACGAGCGGCGGACGGGUGAGUAAUGUCUGGGAAACUGCCUGAUGGAGGGGGAUAACUACUGGAAACGGUAGCUAAUACCGCAUAACGUCGCAAGACCAAAGAGGGGGACCUUCGGGCCUCUUGCCAUCAGAUGUGCCCAGAUGGGAUUAGCUAGUAGGUGGGGUAACGGCUCACCUAGGCGACGAUCCCUAGCUGGUCUGAGAGGAUGACCAGCCACACUGGAACUGAGACACGGUCCAGACUCCUACGGGAGGCAGCAGUGGGGAAUAUUGCACAAUGGGCGCAAGCCUGAUGCAGCCAUGCCGCGUGUAUGAAGAAGGCCUUCGGGUUGUAAAGUACUUUCAGCGGGGAGGAAGGUGCUGAGGUUAAUAACCUCAGCAAUUGACGUUACCCGCAGAAGAAGCACCGGCUAACUCCGUGCCAGCAGCCGCGGUAAUACGGAGGGUGCAAGCGUUAAUCGGAAUUACUGGGCGUAAAGCGCACGCAGGCGGUCUGUCAAGUCGGAUGUGAAAUCCCCGGGCUCAACCUGGGAACUGCAUUCGAAACUGGCAGGCUAGAGUCUUGUAGAGGGGGGUAGAAUUCCAGGUGUAGCGGUGAAAUGCGUAGAGAUCUGGAGGAAUACCGGUGGCGAAGGCGGCCCCCUGGACAAAGACUGACGCUCAGGUGCGAAAGCGUGGGGAGCAAACAGGAUUAGAUACCCUGGUAGUCCACGCCGUAAACGAUGUCGACUUGGAGGUUGUGCCCUUGAGGCGUGGCUUCCGGAGCUAACGCGUUAAGUCGACCGCCUGGGGAGUACGGCCGCAAGGUUAAAACUCAAAUGAAUUGACGGGGGCCCGCACAAGCGGUGGAGCAUGUGGUUUAAUUCGAUGCAACGCGAAGAACCUUACCUACUCUUGACAUCCAGAGAACUUACCAGAGAUGCUUUGGUGCCUUCGGGAACUCUGAGACAGGUGCUGCAUGCUGUCGUCAGCUCGUGUUGUGAAAUGUUGGGUUAGUCCCGCACGAGCGCAACCCUUAUCCUUUGUUGCCAUCGGUCCGGCCGGGAACUC
rnacentral:rRNA from 2 species